rnacentral:rRNA from 1 species
CCUACGGGUGGCAGCAGUGGGGAAUAUUGGACAAUGGGGGGAACCCUGAUCCAGCCAUGCCGCGUGUGUGAAGAAGGCCCUCGGGUUGUAAAGCACUUUCAGUGAGGAAGAACGCCUGGUGGUUAAUACCCAUCAGGAAAGACAUCACUCACAGAAGAAGCACCGGCUAACUCCGUGCCAGCAGCCGCGGUAAUACGGAGGGUGCGAGCGUUAAUCGGAAUUACUGGGCGUAAAGCGCGCGUAGGUGGCUUGAUAAGCCGGUUGUGAAAGCCCCGGGCUCAACCUGGGAACGGCAUCCGGAACUGUCAAGCUAGAGUGCAGGAGAGGAAGGUAGAAUUCCCGGUGUAGCGGUGAAAUGCGUAGAGAUCGGGAGGAAUACCAGUGGCGAAGGCGACCUUCUGGACUGACACUGACACUGAGGUGCGAAAGCGUGGGUAGCAAACAGGAUUAGAUACCCCUGUAGUC